UGUCUAUAAAUGGAGAAUGUUCAGCACUGUUGCUACUCUCCCUAGGAGUGGCUGUCCGGCAAAGAUGACUGCAAGAGCACAGCACAGAAUGUUCAAUGAGGUUAAGAAGAAUCUUAGAGUAUCAGAUAAAGACAGAAAUCUCUGGAACAUGCUAACAUCUCUGUUGAUGAGUCUACAAUACGUAAGACACUAAACAAGAAUGGUGUUCAUGGGAGGACACCACGGAAGAAGCCACUGCUGUCCAAAUAAAACAUUGCUACACUGUCUGAAUUUUGUCAAAGUGCACCUGGAUGUUCCACAACGCUACCAGCAUAAUGUUCUGUGGACAGAUGAAACUGCAGUUGAGUUGUUUGGAAGGAACACACAACACCGUGUGGAGGAAAAGGCACAGCACACCAACAUCAAAACAUCAUCCCAACUGUAAAGUAUGGUGGAGGGAGCAUCAUGGUUUGGGGCUGCUUUGCUGCCCCAGGGCCUGGUCAGCUUGCUAUCGUUGACAGAAAAAUGAAUUCCCAUGUUUAUCAAGACAUUUUGAAGGAGAAUGUUCGGCUAACUGUUCUCCAAUUGAACCUCAACAGAAGUUGGGAGAUGCAACAGGACAAUGAUGCAAAACACAGAAGUAAAUCAACAGAAGAAAAUAAGCCUUCUGGAGUGGCCCAGUCAGAGUCCUGACCUCAACCCCAUUGAGAUGCUGUGGCAUGACCUCGAGAGCAGUUCACACCAGACAUCCCAAGAAUAUUGCUGAACUGAAACAGUUUUGUAAAGAGGAAUGGUGUUACAUUUAUUGUUUCUGUAUUGUGUUUUUUUUUGUAUGUGUGUUUCAGGAUGGCUUCCUAAAAUUCCCCCAAGCAGCUGAUUGGUCGGCCCCAUUGCUAAUUGGAGCUGAACCCGCCCUCUCGUCAGAGGAUACAGCUGUUUCCCAUUGGACUCCUCCUGAAGCUAGAAAAGCCUGUGUUCCUUUGUUAGGAGAGAGCUGAUUGUUAUGUUCUGUGCUAGUUUGUUGCUCAGAGAAAGAGAGCUUAUUAGUAUGUCCUGUGUGUGUCAAUAGGACGCAGUGUUUUUGAUUCUUGAAGUUGUUUACUUAUGUUUGUAUUCUGUUUCAUUUGUUCCCAGGGGGGAAGGGGAAGGCAACUAGGGAGUGCUUAGGCAAGAGGCCUGCGGGAAUACAUAACCAGUAGUAUUUACAGUCUAUGCACACUAGGUAAGACCUGGGCGGACCACCCCCUGUAUUUUGGUUAGCGCACCAGGAGGUGCUAAAAGGUUAGGUAAGUGGGUAGGCAGGUAAGAUAGGAGAGGGCAGGUUAGGUAAGUAGUGGGUAGGCAGGUAAGAUAGGAGAGGGUAGGUUAGGUAAGUAGUGGGUAGGCAGGUAAGAUAGGAGAGGGCAGGUUAGGUAAGUAGUGGGUAGGCAGGUAAGAUAGGAGAGGGUAGGUUAGGUAAGUAGUGGGUAGGCAGGUAAGAUAGGAGAGGGCAGGUUAGGUAAGUAGUGGGUAGGCAGGUAAGAUGGUAGAUGGGGCUUUGACAUUUACUUUCUUUGCUUUGGUUCCGUUCAGCUCCUUUCCCUCAAAUGUAUCGUGUGAAGGAAUAAAUUACCAGUAAAGGGUCAAUUCUCUGCCUUUUGUCAUCCUUACUCGCACCUACAAUCCCAU
ensembl:lncRNA